GGCUCACCCUCCCAAGUACUGACCGCGCACGAUACUGCUUAACUGCGGUGAUCAGACGAACCGGUGCUUUCAGCAUGGUAUGGCCGU